rnacentral:rRNA from 1 species
UACGUAGGGUGCAAGCGUUAAUCGGAAUUACUGGGCGUAAAGCGUGCGCAGGCGGUUUUGUAAGUCUGUCGUGAAAUCCCCGGGCUCAACCUGGGAAUUGCGAUGGAGACUGCAAGGCUAGAAUCUGGCAGAGGGGGGUAGAAUUCCACGUGUAGCAGUGAAAUGCGUAGAGAGUGUGGAGGAACACCGAUGGCGAAGGCAGCCCCCUGGGUCAAGAUUGGACGCUCAUGCACGAAAGCGUGGGGAGCAAACAGGAUU